GAGGAUAGAGAGAGAGAAAGAGAGAGAAAGGACGAGGGGGAGCUGGUGGAACAGCAGCGCCACCGGUCUGCGGGAGGCGAAACGCCCGGCGCCGCGACGCUCUGCCGCUGUGUGUAAUCGCUGCCGCAACACCACGCGAGCCCACUGUGCUGAAGCCCCGCAACGUCAGACACGACACUGUACUUACUACUGGCGGACUCGGUCUUCUUAUUUUUCUUGCUGAUAAGUCGUCGAUCGCAGGGUUUGUAGUCAACAAGGAUUGACGUUUGUAGGGAGUAGGAACAAGUGUAUAUUGUUUGACCGUCAAUUUCCGCCCAUAAAUAAACCCGGGCAAUAGCCAGUAAAGAGAGCAGAGCGAGCGGCGCAAAGAGGGUAAAGUGUAUCAUCGAAAAUGUUCAUCAGCGCACUGGCAAGUUAAUCCUGUAGGUCGUGCAGUCGCUGAUUUUUGCACCUCUGCAGCGCGGGCGCACGGCGUGAAAUUUUUCGGAGCCGCGCGCUGAAUCGACUGCGCAGCACGAACGUCGACGUAUACGCGCCUGUGUGUGAAACGAGUUUCAGCGAGAUGGUUUACAAAUCCACCAUAGUCAAUACAGUCCCGCAAAAUCGACCCGAACGCGUUUAACCUCGUUUAAUCUCGUAUUUUCCUCGUGUGCGCGCGCGCGCUCGCAGUUCAAAAAGCCAUUAGGUUUUAUCGCCGCUGCCCGGUGUGGCGCUCGCUAAUCGUGACUUUGCCGUCCGCCAACGCGUUCCAGCGAGCCUUUUGCUUCCGCGAUACCCUCCACAGCCUGUUGACAGUCGUCCCUUGUUCUGAAAAUUCGCUGGAAAAAUUCUGUUUGGAUUUUUUGUUCGAAGCAACGCUGGCGUGUGACUCUCGCAAACGGAUCUCGAUCGAGAUUCUUCGUGUUGGUCAUUUUUCCAAUUAUUUAUUUUCCUGCGCGGGUCUUUUUCUACGUUGUAAUUUUCGAUGAUUAAGCUUGUGGAACACGUUCGAGUCAUCGUUGAAUAAUUUAUGAUAAUUUAUUAAAAAAUGAUUCUUCCCGUGACAGAACGGAUGAAUUAGCCCGACACAAUUAAAAUAAUGUUGGAGAUGAUUUCUGAUUGUGUGUAAAAGAGAUCGAUCUCCUCUUCGAUAAAACCUUCUCCAUCCAUUCUCUUUCUCGGGGCGAAGAAGAAGAGUAUAAGGAAGAAGACGAGAGACGAAGAAGGUGGAAAGCGAGAAGAAAGUGUUAAAAAAAAGAAAUAACGGUAUACGAGCGCAGUAGUAGACAGAAGAAGAAAAGGCGGACAGAGCGAUCGUCAGAUAACCAGAUUAGGACUGGGCCGAGCAAGUGAGUAGCGGAUAGAUAUCCGCCUAAUUACAGUUGGACGUUUGAGUGACACUUCUCAUUUAUAUACCAGUUGUUGUGAUGCCUCCAGACUUCUGCUCCUGCUUUUUUACGUCUCUAUAGAUUCGUGCACAAAAAUGAACGCACUUAAGCAAAACUGCAUUAUCGCAUAUCAACGACAAUAAAUUCAAAAAAUGUUGCAAUGAAAAUAAAACAUUAUAUCUAGAAA
rnacentral:lncRNA from 1 species